CCCGAAGAUGGUAUCCCGCUGGGGGUAGCUACCCACAUGUUAUUUAGCAAUUAAGUUAGAAAAAUUUACCGAAUGUCCAGCUGGACAAAUUGUAAAGUACAAAUUAAAUAGAAAAAAAAAAGGAAAAAAUUAACAAGGAAGACAAACUGCCGUUCGAUUCGAAUGAUUUCAUUACUCACUGUACGCAUACACAUUCACAUACUCAAUACUGUACAAUACACAUUCAUACACUCUAUUAUACACAGACUACACUUAUUUAAACAAACGAUUCUAAUACUCCUUUUCAAUAUCUCCAAAGUAUGCGUGGUGUUCAGAAAUUCUUUAAAACUCUUGAUUAUUCGCGUUCGGAUAAUCAAGGAUUCUCCUACAAUAUGAAAACUCGACACUCCGUAAAUCCACACGAAACAACGAUUUACCGUCACUUCGCCUUCAGUCGAGUCGAUCAAGCACUCCACCACUUCUGUCCCCUCGAACCACACAGCUUGUUAUGCUUUGUGACGUACGCUCCGUUGUG
rnacentral:misc_RNA from 1 species